rnacentral:rRNA from 1 species
UGUGAGGUUAAGCGACUAAGCGUACACGGUGGAUGCCCUGGCAGUCAGAGGCGAUGAAGGGCGUGCUAAUCUGCGAUAAGCGCCGGUAAGGUGAUAUGAACCGUUAUAACCGGCGAUACCCGAAUGGGGAAACCCAGUGUGACUCGUCACACUAUCAUUAACUGAAUCCAUAGGUUAAUGAGGCGAACCGGGGGAACUGAAACAUCUAAGUACCCCGAGGAAAAGAAAUCAACCGAGAUUCCCCCAGUAGCGGCGAGCGAACGGGGAGGAGCCCAGAGCCUGAAUCAGCAUGUGUGUUAGUGGAAGCGUCUGGAAAGGCGCGCGAUACAGGGUGACAGCCCCGUACACAAAAGCGCAUGUGCUGUGAGCUCGAUGAGUAGGGCGGGACACGUGGUAUCCUGUCUGAAUAUGGGGGGACCAUCCUCCAAGGCUAAAUACUCCUGACUGACCGAUAGUGAACCAGUACCGUGAGGGAAAGGCGAAAAGAACCCCGGCGAGGGGAGUGAAAAAGAACCUGAAACCGUGUACGUACAAGCAGUGGGAGCACAGGUUUACCUGUGUGACUGCGUACCUUUUGUAUAAUGGGUCAGCGACUUAUAUUCUGUAGCAAGGUUAACCGUAUAGGGGAGCCGUAGGGAAACCGAGUCUUAACCGGGCGUUAAGUUGCAGGGUAUAGACCCGAAACCCGGUGAUCUAGCCAUGGGCAGGUUGAAGGUUGGGUAACACUAACUGGAGGACCGAACCGACUAAUGUUGAAAAAUUAGCGGAUGACCUGUGGCUGGGGGUGAAAGGCCAAUCAAACCGGGAGAUAGCUGGUUCUCCCCGAAAGCUAUUUAGGUAGCGCCUCGUGAAUUCAUCUCCGGGGGUAGAGCACUGUUUCGGCUAGGGGGCCAUCCCGGCUUACCAACCCGAUGCAAACUGCGAAUACCGGAGAAUGUUAUCACGGGAGACACACGGCGGGUGCUAACGUCCGUCGUGAAGAGGGAAACAACCCAGACCGCCAGCUAAGGUCCCAAAGUCAUGGUUAAGUGGGAAACGAUGUGGGAAGGCCCAGACAGCCAGGAUGUUGGCUUAGAAGCAGCCAUCAUUUAAAGAAAGCGUAAUAGCUCACUGGUCGAGUCGGCCUGCGCGGAAGAUGUAACGGGGCUAAACCAUGCACCGAAGCUGCGGCAGCGACGCUGAUGCGUUGUUGGGUAGGGGAGCGUUCUGUAAGCCUGUGAAGGUGGCCUGUGAGGGUUGCUGGAGGUAUCAGAAGUGCGAAUGCUGACAUAAGUAACGAUAAAGCGGGUGAAAAGCCCGCUCGCCGGAAGACCAAGGGUUCCUGUCCAACGUUAAUCGGGGCAGGGUGAGUCGACCCCUAAGGCGAGGCCGAAAGGCGUAGUCGAUGGGAAACGGGUUAAUAUUCCCGUACUUGGUGUUACUGCGAAGGGGGGACGGAGAAGGCUAUGUUGGCCGGGCGACGGUUGUCCCGGUUUAAGCGUGUAGGUGUGUGUUCCAGGUAAAUCCGGUUCACUUUAACACUGAGGCGUGAUGACGAGGCACUACGGUGCUGAAGCAACAAAUGCCCUGCUUCCAGGAAAAGCCUCUAAGCAUCAGGUAACAUCAAAUCGUACCCCAAACCGACACAGGUGGUCAGGUAGAGAAUACCAAGGCGCUUGAGAGAACUCGGGUGAAGGAACUAGGCAAAAUGGUGCCGUAACUUCGGGAGAAGGCACGCUGACACGUAGGUGAAGUGAUUUACUCAUGGAGCUGAAGUCAGUCGAAGAUACCAGCUGGCUGCAACUGUUUAUUAAAAACACAGCACUGUGCAAACACGAAAGUGGACGUAUACGGUGUGACGCCUGCCCGGUGCCGGAAGGUUAAUUGAUGGGGUCAGCGCAAGCGAAGCUCCUGAUCGAAGCCCCGGUAAACGGCGGCCGUAACUAUAACGGUCCUAAGGUAGCGAAAUUCCUUGUCGGGUAAGUUCCGACCUGCACGAAUGGCGUAAUGAUGGCCAGGCUGUCUCCACCCGAGACUCAGUGAAAUUGAACUCGCUGUGAAGAUGCAGUGUACCCGCGGCAAGACGGAAAGACCCCGUGAACCUUUACUAUAGCUUGACACUGAACAUUGAGCCUUGAUGUGUAGGAUAGGUGGGAGGCUUUGAAGCGUGGACGCCAGUCUGCAUGGAGCCGGCCUUGAAAUACCACCCUUUAAUGUUUGAUGUUCUAACGUGGACCCGUGAUCCGGGUUGCGGACAGUGUCUGGUGGGUAGUUUGACUGGGGCGGUCUCCUCCUAAAGAGUAACGGAGGAGCACGAAGGUUGGCUAAUCCUGGUCGGACAUCAGGAGGUUAGUGCAAUGGCAUAAGCCAGCUUGACUGCGAGCGUGACGGCGCGAGCAGGUGCGAAAGCAGGUCAUAGUGAUCCGGUGGUUCUGAAUGGAAGGGCCAUCGCUCAACGGAUAAAAGGUACUCCGGGGAUAACAGGCUGAUACCGCCCAAGAGUUCAUAUCGACGGCGGUGUUUGGCACCUCGAUGUCGGCUCAUCACAUCCUGGGGCUGAAGUAGGUCCCAAGGGUAUGGCUGUUCGCCAUUUAAAGUGGUACGCGAGCUGGGUUUAGAACGUCGUGAGACAGUUCGGUCCCUAUCUGCCGUGGGCGCUGGAGAACUGAGGGGGGCUGCUCCUAGUACGAGAGGACCGGAGUGGACGCAUCACUGGUGUUCGGGUUGUCAUGCCAAUGGCACUGCCCGGUAGCUAAAUGCGGAAGAGAUAAGUGCUGAAAGCAUCUAAGCACGAAACUUGCCCCGAGAUGAGUUCUCCCUGAGACUUAGAGUCUCCUGAAGGAACGUUGAAGACGACGACGUUGAUAGGCCGGGUGUGUAAGCGCAGCGAUGCGUUGAGCUAACCGGUACUAAUGAACCGUGAGGCUUAACCUUACAACGCCGAAG